AUUGAACGCUGGCGGCAUGCCUUACACAUGCAAGUCGAACGGCAGCGGGGGAGAAGCUUGCUUUUCCUGCCGGCGAGUGGCGAACGGGUGAGUAAUACAUCGGAACGUGCCCUGUAGUGGGGGAUAACUAGUCGAAAGAUUAGCUAAUUCCGCAUACGACCUGAGGGUGAAAGUGGGGGACCGCAAGGCCUCCUGCUAUAGGAGCGGCCGAUGUCUGAUUAGCUAGUUGGUGGGGUAAAGGCCUACCAAGGCGACGAUCAGUAGCUGGUCUGAGAGGACGAUCAGCCACACUGGGACUGAGACACGGCCCAGACUCCUACGGGAGGCAGCAGUGGGGAAUUUUGGACAAUGGGCGAAAGCCUGAUCCAGCAAUGCCGCGUGUGUGAAGAAGGCCUUCGGGUUGUAAAGCACUUUUGUCCGGAAAGAAAUGGCUCUGGUUAAUACCUGGGGUCGAUGACGGUACCGGAAGAAUAAGGACCGGCUAACUACGUGCCAGCAGCCGCCGUAA
rnacentral:rRNA from 1 species